AGGGCGCCGCAACGGAACGAGGAACCCGGACAGUGAAGGAGGAAGAAACAAAGGAGCCAGCAGCACUAGAGAGUUCCCUUCUGGAUCUGAGUUUGACUGUUACAUUCAGCAUCCAAAGAGAGAGGAGGACAUACUGUUUGAAUAAGGAAGAUAAAGAAAUGUACUUUUUUGAAAGCCAUCAAAGAAGGAUGUGUACUUCAUCUCUGUGCCUUCCCUACCAGUCUAGCUGGGUAAGAGAUGAGGGUGCCCUGCCCAUGGAGAGAAGCUGCGUAUGCAUAGUGGUCAAGAUCAUGGUCUCUUCUAUCAGACUGACACGCGGAUUCCACUCCCUGUGACCUUAGGCAAGUUACCUAACCUCUUUGUGCCUGUUUCAUCACCUAUAAAAUAGGAGUAACUGUGUUAUUCCCCAAAUUUCUACAAUGAAGGCCUAACUUCUAUGCAAUGGUAUUUGGAGAUAGGGCCUUUGGGAGACACUUAUGUUUUGAUGAGGUCCUAAUGAUUGGAUUAGUGCCCUUGUAAGAAGAGACACCAGAAAGCUAGCAUGUACCAUGCCCCAGCCCUCACCACCCCUGCCACGUGAGGGCACUUGGAGAAGACAGCUACCUGCAACCUAGGAAAAGAGCCGCCAUCAGAAACUGACCAUGCUGGUAUCUUGACCUUGGACUAUCAGCCGCCAGAACUGUGAAAAAAUAAAUUGCUGUUGUUUAAGCCA